UACAGAGGUGGCAAGCGUUGUUCGGAAUUACUGGGCGUAAAGGGCGCGUAGGCGGUCUGGUCAGUCCCUUGUGAAAUCCCCCGGCUCAACUGGGGAACUGCACGGGAAACAGCCGGGCUUGAGUUCGGGAGAGGGAAGCGGAAUUCCGGGUGUAGCGGUGAAAUGCGUAGAUAUCCGGAGGAACACCGGUGGCGAAGGCGGCUUCCUGGACCAGUACCGACGUUCAGGCACGAAAGCGUGGGGAGCAAACAGG
rnacentral:rRNA from 1 species